rnacentral:rRNA from 1 species
AACGAACGCUGGCGGCAUGCCUAACACAUGCCAGUCGAACGAGACCUUCGGGUCUAGUGGCGCACGGGUGCGUAACGCGUGGGAACCUGCCCUUAGGUUCGGAAUAACUCCCCGAAAGGGGUGCUAAUACCGGAUAAUGUCUUCGGACCAAAGAUUUCUCGCCUUUGGAUGGGCCCGCGUUGGAUUAGCUAGUUGGUAGGGUAAAAGCCUACCAAGGCGACGAUCCAUAGCUGGUCUGAGAGGAUGAUCAGCCACACUGGGACUGAGACACGGCCCAGACUCCUACGGGAGGCAGCAGUGGGGAAUAUUGGACAAUGGGCGAAAGCCUGAUCCAGCAAUGCCGCGUGAGUGAUGAAGGCAUUAGGGUUGUAAAGCUCUUUUAACCGGGAUGAUAAUGACAGUACCGGGAGAAUAAGCUCCGGCUAACUCCGUG